AACGAACGCUGGCGGCAGGCCUAACACAUGCAAGUCGAGCGCCCUUUCGGGGGAGCGGCGGACGGGUGAGUAACGCGUGGGAAUAUGCCCUUCUCUACGGAAUAGCCUCGGGAAACUGAGAGUAAUACCGUAUACGCCCUAUGGGGGAAAGAUGUAUCGGGGAAGGAUUAGCCCGCGUUGGAUUAGGUAGUUGGUGGGGUAAUGGCCUACCAAGCCGACGAUCCAUAGCUGGUUUGAGAGGAUGAUCAGCCACACUGGGACUGAGACACGGCCCAGACUCCUACGGGAGGCAGCAGUGGGGAAUCUUAGACAAUGGGGGCAACCCUGAUCUAGCCAUGCCGCGUGAGUGAUGAAGGCCUUAGGGUUGUAAAGCUCUUUCAGCUGGGAAGAUAAUGACGUUACCAGCAGAAGAAGCCCCGGCUAACUCCGUG
rnacentral:rRNA from 1 species